AACUUACUGAAAAACAAGAAGCGGCUCUCAAAAUUUCAUUCUUCCUCUAACCCUCGUUUACUCUCCCUCUCACUCAAUUAUUUCAUCUUCUCAAUCUUUUUCUCAAAAACAUUGAAGUAAACCACAUAUACUCAUCGAAAUCACCUAUUGGAAAUCAUGCUUCUCCUCCGACGAAAUCCUCAAGGGGAUUUGAGAAACCGAAAUCGAUAAGGGGAUUGAUGAUGGAAGGAAGAAGAAUCAUAGAAAACCCUAGACCUUGUGAUGGUAGAAGUGUUGUCGCAAAGAAGAGGUCUCGUCCCGAUGGAUUCGUCAACAGCGGUAAAAAGCUCAACGCCGAGAAAUCUCGCCUCAUAUGGAUCGAGCUUUCUCAAUCAGCACCGCUCAAGAGAGAUUCUGAGACAUGCGUCUCGUGUAUGUAUCAAAGCUAUGGAGGAAGACUCAAUUUAAUUUCAUAAGAUUUCUGCACACAACAACCUUCCUGUUGUUUUGUCAAGCAACCUUGCGUAAGCUCGCUAACUCAUUUUACUUUCCAAUGAUUUGCUUCAAUAGCUCAUAAGGUUUCAACUUUGGGUCCGAUAAGAUUUGGUUUCUAUUUAAUUCUUGAGAUAUGGUUGUUGGAUUAUGUGAGGAAAAGAGGGAUGGUCACACCACUAAGCUUCACAGCUUUGGAGUUUCUUUGCAGCUUCAGUUGUCGAAGAUGAUGUUUGGCUUACAGAGAAAGCCACAGCCAAGCACACUCUUAGACAGAGCUCAUGAUGUACAAUUUUAUUUCAAAGCGGAAGGUACUUGAAGAAAUGAGUUGCUCUGGGAACAUUAGUGGGAACUACUUAGGUUUCAAUGAUGGAAUACAAAGCAAUUGAGAAUGUGCUACAAACCAUUUAUUAUGUAGUUGUUCAUCUAUUUUU